AUUGAACGCUGGCGGCAAGCCUAACACAUGCAAGUCGAACGAGUGGCGGACGGGUGAGCAAUGUCUGGGCAACCGCGUGAGGGAUGGGGUUAACUACUGGAAACGGUAGCCAAUAACGCAUACAUUCGGAUGGGCCGGGAUGGGAUUAGCUAGUGGGUGGGGUAAAGGCUAACCAAGGCGACGAUCCCUAGCUGGUCUGAGAGGAUGACCAGCCACACUGGAACUGAGACACGGUCCAGACUCCUACGGGAGGCAGCAGUGGGGAAUAUUGCACAAUGGGCGCAAGCCUGAUGCAGCCAUGCCGCGUGUAUGAAGAAGGCCUUCGGGUUGUAAAGUACUUUCAGCGGGGAGGCGUUACCCGCAGAAGAAGCACCGGCUAACUCCGUGCCAGCAGCCGCGGUAAUAC
rnacentral:rRNA from 1 species